UACGGAGGGGUGCAAGCGUUGCUCGGAAUUACUGGGGCGUAAAGGGGCUCGUAGGCGGCCAACUAAGUCAGACGUGAAAUCCCCUCGGCUUAACCGGGGGAACUGCAUCUGAUACUGGGAUGGCUUGAGUUCGGGAGAGGGGAUGCGGAAUUCCAGGGUGUAGCGGUGAAAUGCGUAGAUAUCUGGAGGAACACCGGUGGCGAAGGCGGCAUCCUGGACCGACACUGACGCUGAGGAGCGAAAGCCAGGGGGAGCAAACGGG
rnacentral:rRNA from 1 species